rnacentral:rRNA from 1 species
GCGAUCAUACCAGCACCAAUGCACCGGAUCCCAUCAGAACUCCGAAGUUAAGCAUGCUUGGGCGAGAGUAGUACUAGGAUGGGUGACCCCUAGGAAGUCCUCGUGUUGCACCCC